GAGGCCUACGGGGCGCAGCAGUGAGGAAUAUUGGUCAAUGGACGAAAGUCUGAACCAGCCAUGCCGCGUGCAGGAAGACGGCUCUAUGAGUUGUAAACUGCUUUUGUACAAGGGUAAACCUGAAUACGUGUAUUCAGCUGAAAGUACUGUACGAAUAAGGAUAGGCUAACUCCGUGCCAGCAGCCGCGGUAAUACGGAGGAUCCAAGCGUUAUCCGGAUUUAUUGGGUUUAAAGGGUGCGUAGGCGGAUUGAUAAGUUAGAGGAGAAAUGUCCGGGCUCAACUCGGGAACUGCCUCUAAUACUGU
rnacentral:rRNA from 1 species